CACGAAACCUCAUUAAGCAAAAGGACUACAAUUAAGCCCGGAAUCCACGGUUGACACUCUCACCAUCCGUCUGUUGCUUCUGCACAGGCUGUGGGCAAGACAAGCGGCUCUCUCCUCGUUUCAUGGGCAGGGGGUGAUAACAGGGAGAGGCCAUCUUUAUUUGUCACUUAAUGGGCAACCUGGCCCUUCCUUCAGGGCAACCAGAUGCAUCUUUUGUCCUUAACCCACUUCCACGUGGAUGGCUGCCCAUCAAAUAAAGCAAGACAUCUGCCCGGAAGGGCCAAUUUACCUCAAACAGGGACACGUGGCUGCAGGUGAGGCUGGUUUCUGCUUUGCCCCUUGUUCUGUUCUGCCUUCCUUACUUGGGCUGCCUCAUCCUGGACUUUACCCCUUGCCUGUGUUCUUUCCUUCAUCUUCUUGGUCUGCCAUUCUCCUAUUUCUGAACUCUCUUGCUUUCAUUUUUUUUCCUCUUUGGACCUCCCCUGUGGUCAUCUUGCUCCCAAUCUCUAUUUCAAUAACUGCAGAGCCUAUAAGUAU
rnacentral:lncRNA from 1 species